AGCAGCAGCCACGGGAAAACGGAGGGAGCUAGCGUUGUUCGGAAUUACUGGGCGUAAAGCGCGCGUAGGCGGUUACUCAAGUCAGAGGUGAAAGCCCGGGGCUCAACCCCGGAACUGCCUUUGAAACUAGGUGACUAGAAUCUUGGAGAGGUCAGUGGAAUUCCGAGUGUAGAGGUGAAAUUCGUAGAUAUUCGGAAGAACACCAGUGGCGAAGGCGACUGACUGGACAAGUAUUGACGCUGAGGUGCGAAAGCGUGGGGAGCAAACAGGAUUAGAUACCCGGGUAGUCCCUGUCUCUUAUAC
rnacentral:rRNA from 1 species